GUGCCCUAUAGCAAAAACCUCUCCAAAAACAAACAAAAGAGUGAGUGCCGGAAUCAUCCAUGUCCGCUGACAUUGCUAGGAUCUACAGGCCACUGGACAAGGUGUGGCCAGUCCACCUGCCCCUGGCCCUGUGCAGGAGUGUCUACGUGACUCUGCAGCCUGGAUGGUUGAGAAAAGUUCCCGAAGACCAGCAAAGGAGAUCCUGACAUUUAGGAGCGGACUCGGGACCACCCCAGCCUGGUGAGCCCAGGAAGCACAUGAAGCAAUCCUGCAGCAAAGCGCAGACUGUCGGGAGCAGCAGCGAGGCCGCGUGCAUGCGGCGCCUGCCAGGGAGCAGGUUCUGAGCAGAGCCGUUUCCGAGUGCUAGAAGGCAGAGUCCUCCUUACCAACAGCAUGCACUUUCUUGCAGGAGCCGGGAUCAACUUGUCCCCAUUUGCUUGGACCCUGCUGGCACCAGUAGUCCCUCCACUUGGGAGCCCUCAGUCCCAGGCAAAGCACAACUAUCGCCCUGGGCAGCAGCACAAGUCUCACCUCCUUUUCCGAGUACAACAUUCCUGUCAACUGGGAAAACGGGGGAAACGGGAAUGAAAUACACAGCCUGGGCCAAAAGAACGAUCGAGGUCACGGUGUCCAGGGCCUGACGACCACAGUGCGGGGAGUGGCCAAGAGGCCCUGGUUGAAUGAAGACUCUCCUCCAGGUGCUUGGGACUUUGCCAGUGAGCAAAGCCUACAGACCCUCCCUGUCCCGCCUGGGGAGGUGGGCAGUACAGGACAGAUACCGGCCAUCAGCCAGUGAAGUGUCCCCUAUGUUAGAGGUUUGCAGAUGCAGAAAUCACUAGAUGCGAGUGACCACAGACAGAGCUGAGCUGUAAGACC